GAAAAACUUAAUUACUCAACUGAAGAUGCUACUCACUUGUUUUCUUUGGUUUCAAAUUGCCUCCUUUCUAUCAAGUUGGCUACGCUCUGAGGGGAGAGAAAACAAGAAAUGCACAGAGUUCUAUUGAAGUAGCUCAGGGUAUACACAUGGCUCUGCAGAUAGUGAGGAUCCAAUAGAUGCCACUGAUGGAUUUAAUCUAUAAUAAAGUUAAAGCUCGAGGAAAGGGGCUUAGAACUAAAGAAGAAAGGGUGUUUCUUUUGCAAAACGAGACGGAAUAUUCUGGCACAGCGAGACCCAAAUCUGGAAAGGAAUGAAGAAAGCAAAAGGCAUGCCAACACAGAUUAGCUUUAGCUCUUAGUCACAGAUGGUGGUUGUUCGGUUUCCAAGUGUGGAGCCAGGACCAGAAAGGAACGGUGCUGAGAGAAUUCUCUCAUAACUCCACAAUUUGACGAUGGUACAGCUGAUCAUAGGAGAGCCACAAACUGCUGACUCACUUAAAUGCUUCAGCUCCUGCAUCUGUCAGGCUGCCUGACUGAAAGGAAAUAACCACCAGUAAGGAUACUGAUGACAUACAUUCCUCCACCGCUGUCGCCAGACUUUCCAACAAACUCUAGCUAUUAAAAAAAAAAAAAAAAAAGGGAGCACGUGUCAUCCGAAUGGCAAGUCCAGUGAUUCUGUUUCCAACAGAGCAAAUCUGUCCAAGAGUAUGGAGCAGGUAGCCCUAUCAGAUGACGGUAGAGAAACUGUCUGAGCUGGCUAGAUAGAGAAUGAGGCUACAGAAGAAUGAUAAUAGGUGUCAGUGGCAGAAAUAAAUCAUAAAUACAACAGAAAAAAAGAAAAAAGAAAAAAACAGACUUACU